rnacentral:rRNA from 1 species
GAUGAACGCUAGCGGCAGGCCUAAUACAUGCAAGUCGAACGGUGUAGCAAUACACAGUGGCGCACGGGUGCGUAACACGUAUGCAACCUACCUUACAUUGGGGGAUAGCCUUUCGAAAGGGAGAUUAAUACCGCAUAAGACAGUAACUAGGCAUCUAGUAGCUGUUAAAGAUUUAUCGAUGUAAGCUGGGCAUGCGUCCAAUUAGUUAGUUGGCGAGGUAAUGGCUCACCAAGGCGAUGAUUGGUAGGGGAACUGAGAGGUCAAUCCCCCACACUGGCACUGAGAUACGGGCCAGACUCCUACGGGAGGCAGCAGUAGGGAAUAUUGGGCAAUGGGCGCAAGCCUAACCCAGCCAUGCCGCGUGCAGGAAGAAGGCGUUAUGCGUUGUAAACUGCUUUUGUACAGGAAGAAACGACCCUUGCGAGGGGCAUUGACGGUACUGUAUGAAUAAGCACCGGCUAACUUCGUGCCAGCCGCCGCAGUAAUAC